rnacentral:lncRNA from 1 species
AUGAUAUGGCCACUUCUGAACCAAGGAUAUUUAAUCGUGCCUGAAGUGGGGCUCAAAGAAGACAAACCCUGCAACCUCAAGCCAGUGGGCAACCUGGCUGCUGCCUCCCGUGAGCCCUUUCUGCCUCUGUCUUCCCGCCAAGCGCAGAGUCCCUGGCUCACAGUUGUUACCUUCACUCUGCUUAGAUGCAGCCUCCAUGUAAGUCCCCUUUGUCCCUCCCCGCCAGUCACUGCCCCCAGCCCCCACUGCCCCUUCCCUGUGUAGAAUUGCUCCAGAGGACGGGCAGGCCCAUGUCGACUCUUGGCAUGUAUUGGGGGAUGAGUGGUGGUGGAGUGGCCACCGUCAGAGAUCUCGGCGCCUUCUGAUGUGCUGCUU